rnacentral:lncRNA from 1 species
AUGGUGUCUUCUUGUUCCUGGCCCCCUGUAAAACACAGGGGUGCACUGUGGGAAAAUGGGAAUACUGGAUUGACUGAUCCUUCCCGCGGGCAGAGAAACCGUUGCCUGCUCUUACUCUCGCCACCGAUGUCACUCUCCAAACAGUCACUCGUCCUCAGCUACACUGGAUUUCUGACAGCUCUGAAAACACAGCAAAUGCCUUCUCACCCCAGGACAUUUCCAUAUGCUGUGACAUCCGUCUAGGAUGCUGUUCUCAAGGCUGGUUCUUCCUCAUUUUUCAAAGAAGCCUUUUCUGACACCUCAUAUAUUCUGGAUCCUGACUUGGGUCUUGUCUUUGAUAGAACUGUUUGUGAUGUAUACUUUGCCUAAUGUUCACUGGUAAUUGUAUUCUAGUGAGAGUGAGGGAAAGCGAGCUGAUUAUAUCUGUGUAUUGUUGGUCAGUAGGAUAAUGUUCGGGAUAUCAUCGUGUUCACCAAGUAUUUACAGAUAAAAGAGAAAGAAAGAAAAAAAAAACUAAUUUGCUUUAGGUUCCCAGGAAAUGGGGAUGCCAGUGUUGAGAGAAGGUUUAAGAAAAUUUCAGGCAAGCUUGUUAAAAUAUAAAUUAACUAAAAAUAUCUGGUUUCGUAAAAUGUUGCUGGUGUCUGUGUGUGUGUGUAUAAGAUUCUAUCUUUGAAUCAGAAAUGUAAAUCAUGGACAUAUACAAUUCCAUUUUAUGUUUUAAUUACUUUGAAAUUUGCUGUCUAUUGGAAGAUCACUUGCAGGAGUUAUUAUAAGGUCUAGAUGUUUUAAGUCUCCAUCAAAAAUCUUUGAAUUUAUUUAAAUUCAUUUUAUCUGAUAUUUGUGUACAAGAAGAGGUAUGUGCUACAUUUAGACUAACUUAUGUUUUAAAAAAUAUUAUUUUAUUAAAAUAGUAUUUAUUAUAUUCUUACUAAAGUUCUAAAUUUACAUUGCAGGUAAUCUGGAAAAUACAAAAAGAUAAAAAUAAAUAUAGUUGUCCCCUUAUCCA